UGCUGCACUGCGCCUGCACUCCUAACUCUGCACUGCACACCUAGACCUGACUGCUAUUCAGCCUGUAUCGCCGGCCACCAUAGCGAAAACAUCUCUGUCACCUGUUUCGCUGGUGGCAAUGGCGAAACCGGUGCCCACGUCUCGCCAACAUGCAUGGCGGAACACUUUGUAAAACUGACCCUUUGUUUCGAAACAGCUCCUUAUCGAGAAUAAGUUUGUAAAACUAACCCCUAUGAUCAAUUUGCCUAACUUUCAUCCUGGUUGACGUAACCUUCAUCAUUGCAGGCAAUUCUGACCAGCUUGUAAUCGGAGUUCCUCGAGUCGAAGCCGAAGCCAAAGCAAGAAGAAUAGUCGUAACCGUAGUUGCAGGGUGAGGGGAGGCUAAUGAAUCGCCGAACACAAGGGUUGUAAAUGAUGACAGAUUGGUAUCCUUUAGUGGCGGAGGCCGUCACAGAGGGCAACGACGGAGGUGAAAAAGAGAUUGUUGAAGAAGGGAAGGGACAAGGUGGAGGAGUGGGUGAGGAAGGGGUCGUCACAGUGGAAAGAGUAGCCAAGGAGGAGAAGGGAGGGGGAGUGGCGGUGGUGGAGGGAGAUGAAGGAAGAACUGCAUAUUAGAGACCGCCAUGACUAAUCUUCUUUGGUGGAAGUCUACGAAGAAUUUCCGCCAAGAUUUCAUCAGGGAAUA
rnacentral:lncRNA from 1 species